rnacentral:rRNA from 1 species
UAGGGAAUCUUCGGCAAUGGACGGAAGUCUGACCGAGCAACGCCGCGUGAGUGAAGAAGGUUUUCGGGUCGUAAAGCUCUGUUGUAAGAGAAGAACGAGUGUGAGAGUGGAAAGUUCACACUGUGACGGUAUCUUACCAGAAAGGGACGGCUAACUACGUGCCAGCAGCCGCGGUAAUACGUAGGUCCCGAGCGUUGUCCGGAUUUAUUGGGCGUAAAGCGAGCGCAGGCGGUUAGAUAAGUCUGAAGUUAAAGGCUGUGGCUUAACCAUAGUAGGCUUUGGAAACUGUUUAACUUGAGUGCAAGAGGGGAGAGUGGAAUUCCAUGUGUAGCGGCGAAAUGCGUAGAUAUAUGGAGGAACACCGGUGGCGAAAGCGGCUCUCUGGCUUGUAACUGACGCUGAGGCUCGAAAGCGUGGGGAGCAAACAGGAUUAGAUACCCUGGUAGUCCACGCUGUAAACGAUGAGUGCUAGGUGUUAGACCCUUUCCGGGGUUUAGUGCCGUAGCUAACGCAUUAAGCACUCCGCCUGGGGAGUACGACCGCAAGGUUG